rnacentral:lncRNA from 1 species
UGCUUGAAGGAUUCCUACAUACCUUUCAAAUACAUGUACGAGAGGUAUGGACAUAGCAGGUCAUUCCACACUUACCAUGAUGGAAUCUCCCUCAAUUCACUGGGUCACAUCCAUCGCAGAGUAUUUGUAUUCAUCGUAUGCUUUCUAGGCCUGGUAGUAUUACCAAUGAAAAAGGGAAGUGUCCACACUAGGUUGGCCAUGUCGCUAAGAUUCUGAUGGACGGGAUUAAUGGAUAGACGUAUACUAUAGUCCCCAUGAUCAUAGUCGACAUCUAUAGGGCUCUGGACCACUGUCAAAGAGUGGUCAAGCAUUUCGAAGGUUGCAAUUGUUGUUGAAGUUGUGGUUGCUAGAGCAUUUCAAAAAGGAUCGCUAUUGUCAGAAAUUUCUGCGAAGGGCUUGGAAUGACCACAUUGCCUUCCAUCACCCUAAGCAGAUGACUUACAUUCUAGAAAUAUUUUCUCAGCCGAAAAGCGCCAAAGAAUGGAUACACUUCUUCGACAAUCUAGCCGAGGAAUAGGUGCAGGGGAUGUUUAAAUGGUUCCCUACCGAUGAGAUUAUUAUUAGAUCCAGGGACGCUCCGCACAUGGUGUUAAUAUGGUGGAGAGGGAUAUACCCAUAUGUCCCUAUGCGAGUUGCGAGGCAAGCUAGUAGAAAAUAGGUUGUACCACGGGUUGUUAAGAUGAAACAUUUCAGGGCAGAUUUUCAAGACUACGAUGUCCCUUACAAGUGCCAAGCUUAGCAUAUGAGGCACUGCAAAAUCAUUGUGGAGAAGAAUACAAUUGAGCCAGACAGGUAUCAUGUAGGUCCAAGC